rnacentral:rRNA from 1 species
CGUAGCAAUACGGAGUGGCAGACGGGUGAGUAACACGUGGGAACAUGCCCUUUGGUUCGGAAUAACUCAGGGAAACUUGAGCUAAUACCGGAUAAGCCCGAGAGGGGAAAGAUUUAUCGCCGAAGGAUUGGCCCGCGUCCGAUUAGCUAGUUGGUGAGGUAAUGGCUCACCAAGGCGACGAUCGGUAGCUGGUCUGAGAGGAUGAUCAGCCACACUGGGACUGAGACACGGCCCAGACUCC